rnacentral:tRNA from 1 species
GGGAUGUAGCUCAGUGGUACAGCGUCUACCUGGCAAGCACAAGGUCCUGAGUUCAAUUCCCAGUACCCA